AGAAAAGCAAAGACCAAGCUCGUACUUUUCAGUCCGCGGCUUGUGUGCCGCGAGGAGAGGCGCAAAGGGUGACACACCAGGAAAGCAGGUAGCAGGCAAGAGUGUGGUUAUCGUUGGACCAGGAUUCAGGAUCUGACUGAGUAGCUGACUCUUAAUCCAGUUUGUGUUGAUCACCAGGAGGAUCUGGACCUCAGUAUUACCACAUCUAGAGCUAUAAUCACAUCCCUGUUAAGCCUUCCUGAGAUCACACCAAAUGUCCUUGAUGGGAAUUGUAAACAACCCUUACUUCUGGUUUCUAAUGAUAUUCCAGGAAAGGAGCCUAACUAGAGUCAGUGAUAUGCCAACUCCACCUUUGCCUUCCACCAUGUUUGGAAGCUCCCUGAGGCCUCACCAGGAGCAGAUGCUCGUCCCAUGCUUCCUAUAAGCCUGCAGAACUGUGAGCCAUAAUAAACUGUGAAUUAUAAAUUGCCUUUAUAGCAAUGCAAAUGGACCAGUACAGAUGGGAUGCUGGGAAGACAGUUGUUUCCACCUUCAGUAAAGUCCGUGGAACACAGUUGUGACUAUAUUCUAGGCCAGCCAAGAUGCUUGUACUCAGAAAGGAGUGGUCUCAGGACCAUAAGAAAGUGAAAAAAUAAAAAUAAGAAAAUAAAGAAGGGAUUGUCAAUGAAUCAGAAUUCAUCAAGGUCAAAGUCUUAGGAAAUUCCUUCAUGAGGAAGUCUAGGGGGGCUAUGGAAAUGAAAUUUUUAAACAAAUAGGUAUGUGGUGCUGGCAGGAAUAAAUUAUGGACUUAUGAAUAUAACAUAAGAUUCUUUAUUACCUGGUCUCACCCGUCUUUCCACCUCUGCCCCCCUUCUUGCCCGACUCUGUGUAUCACCCAUAAUAAACUACUUACAGCUUCCUAGUGUUAAAUUUACCCUAAAGCUGCCUCCUUCAAUAUUUUAAGUUUAACCUAAAGGUUCUUCAUACAUAGUGAACUAUAACCCAAUGAUUAAACAGAUUGUAACCUACUCUUGUACCAGUCACCAAGUUUCAGCCAAUCAGAGGUGGCCAACUGUUCAAACCAUGCUCAAAUAAGGGAAAUGUCAUGGUGUAACUAAUCCAGCUGUUUCUAUACCUUACUUCUGUUUUCUUAGGUCACUUUCCUUUUUUGUCCAUAAAUUCUCUCCAACCACUCAGCAGCACUGGAGUCACUCCAAAGCUAUCCUGGUUCAGGGGUCUGUCUGAUUCACAAGUCAUUCUUUGUUCAAUUGAGCUCUGCUAAAUUUAAUUUGUCUGAAGUUUUUCUUUUAACAGAUGGUGUCAGAAAUGGACCCCAAAGUAGAGCUCCCAGUGAUCCCCCAGGAGCACUGAGUGACCACAAGGGGUACCUGCUGGGCCCGUCCUCUCGCAGUGUCCACUGCUCUCUUACAGCAACUGGAGAUUGUGGCUGCAUUCUCUCUCAGAUUCUGAAGCUCCAUACAUUGCCGUUUUCAGCUGUUCAAGCUUGCUUGAGCAAAUUUUUGAUCUUAGCUGAGUUUGGAAGUCGAUAGACAUUGGACUGGGUCCAGGAUUUGAUUGGAUCUGAUAAUUAACUGGCUUGGAUCCAGUUAGAUGCCUCGGUUAUCUGACUGGGUCAGAUAGAAACCGCCAGUAAAUAUUUUAAUAACAAUACUGCAGGGGUAUGAACUCUGGCUUUAAGAAACUCACAAGGAAUUUUAUGUUCUAUACCCUUUGUUUCUUUUUCUUGUGUGCUUCGGUCAGGAAAAAUCAUUAGUCAAGUUAAUCAAGGGGAUCUGAGAGCCAAAUACAAGAUUCAACGUAAAAAUGGAAUCCUUGGGCUAGGCGUGGUGGCUCAGGCCUGUAAUCCCAGGACUUUGGGAGGCUGAGGCAGGCGGAUCACCUGACCUUAGGAGUUCGAGACCAGUCUGGCCAACAUGGUGAAACCCCGUCUCCACUAAAAAUACAAAAAUUAGCCAGGCGUGGUGGUGGGCACCUGUAAUCCCAGCUACUUUGGAGGCUGAGGCAGGAUAAUCACUUGAACCCAGGAGGCAGAGGUUGCAGUGAUCUGAGAUUGCACCACUGCACUCCAGCCUGGGCAAAAGAGCGAGACUCCAUCUCAUAAAUAAAUACAUAAAUAAAUAAAGAAAUCCUUAAUUUCUGCGGAACUGAGUGCUCUACCUUCUGGCUACACCUACGUAUACCUGUAUGAGGUAUAGGCCCUGGAAGCAGCAAACACUUACAGAAAUGGUGAAAUCUUACUAAAGGGAAAAGAAAGCUGGAUAAAGUAUUUAUAGAAGAUAGAGGACCUGUGGUGGCUCAUGCCUGUAAUCCAAGGUGGAAGGAUUGCUUGAGGCCAGAAGUUCAAGACCAGUCCAAGCAACAUAGCAAGGCCCCAUCUCUACAAAAAAUGAAAAUAAAAUUAGCCGAGCGUGAUGGCUCAUGCCUGUAGUUCUAGCUUCUAGAGAGGCUGAGGCAGGAGGAUUGCUUGAGUCCAGGAGUUCAAGAUUACAGUGAGCUAUGGUCACACCACUGCACUCCAGCCUGGGUGAUGGAGUGAGACUGUCUCAAUAAAAAGACAAAAAGGCUGGCCAGGGGCAGUGGUUCAUGCCUGUAAACCCAGCACUUUGGGAGGCAAAGGCAGGAGGAUUGCUUAAGCCCAGGAAUUUGAGAUCAGCCUGGACAACAUGGUGAGACCCCCAUCUCUACAAAAAUUUUUUUUAAAAGUUACCCAGGCAUGGUGUUGCACAUCUGUGUUCCCAGCUACUGGGGAGGCUGAGACGGGAGGAUCACUUGAGUCCAGGAAGUUGAGAGGUUGAGGCUGCUGUGAGCUGUGAUUGUGCCACUGCACUUUAGCCUGGACAACAGAGGGAGACCCUGUCAACAACAACAACAACAACAAAAAAGCAAAACAUCAUAGGCUGCAGAAAUAAACUUUCUUGUCAAUUGUGUCUUUAACCAUGACCAUUUUGAGUCAUUUCCACAGUGAGUUGCCUAAUUUUGAUGCAUUUCUGAAAACUCUUUAUAAGCAAGUAAAAUCCUAGAGAAUUGUGCCUUCAAGGAGACUCAUGGAAAGGAUGGAAAGAACUCUUGAAUACAUGUUUCUGAUAGCUUUAUGAUCAUAUCAUUUGGACUGGGUAAGAAUUCCCAGAACUCAUGAAGAGACUGACUAUUUAUUAAUCCAAGCAGGAAAAGAAUUAAUUGAAUACCAAGGAAAUACUGUGCCAGAGAUUUUCAUGCUAAAUCAGUCAGCACCGAAAUCGUUAAGAUGUGUAGUUUGAAUGAACUCCAUGAUCCUAGUCAAAUUUCCUAUGAUGACCCAUUUAAUAAACAGUGCUAUGCACCUGAAUUGGAGAAACAGAAUUGAUACUUAAAUCCAAUGUUAAUCAUAGAUUCAUGGAAAGCCUAAAUGGCUGCUUGGGUCUUCCUGAGCCCUUAAAGCUUCCAUUAUUAAAGGCUCUGCACUUUAUAAGUUAUCACUGAAGAGAGAAAAUGAUCCAGAUUUAAAAUACACAUAUUGGUGUGGUGAAUGUUCUAAAUUGCGAAAAUGGUUUAUGACCAACAUUUGGUUUGUCAUGCUCACAAUCCUGGAAAUACAUUCAAAACUUCAGGUACAUUUCUGCUACCUGAUGGGCUAUUUGAAUAUAUAGAGAGGGAUUUCAUUCAAUUGCCAUUUUCAUUGCAUGUUUUUUGGUUGUAUAGAAGCUUUCCCAUGCAAGGAGGCUGAUGCUGUUAUUACAGUAGCUAAAAGGUUAGUAGGAAAUGUGUUUUCCCCCAUGGGGCAUUCCUGGAGAAAUCUCUAGCAAUAAAGGUACUUGUUUGACUGGACAAGUUGUAAAACAGUUUAAUAAGGUUUUUUUUAGGUGUCAUAGCAUUAGGCAAAGCUAACUGAAUUGACUGGAUUGUCAUAGUCAAACAUAUUGCAGAUCCGCUUCCAAUAGAAGACAAUGAAAUAGUCACUGGAAAGCCUGUGCUCCUAAUUUUAGAACCUCAUGUAUCUUCUGCUCCUAAACUCUGAUAGGACUAAAUGCUGUGAGGCCUCAAUGCAUUAUGUUAAUGUGUAUUUUCACCAGGUCAAGGAAGCUUUUCCUGAUCCACUAACUAAGGACAAUCAAACCCUUCAUGAUCUAGAAUCUGGAGACUGUGUCUUCUGGGAAUAGUAUCAGAGAAAGACUGCCCUUACUGCCCACAUGUAGCAAAACUUUGAGACGUUGAAUUAUGGGUCCAUAAUCUCACAACUCAGAGGGGCACCUCUAGACUCUUGGAACUGUAUAUCUAUUGGAGACUUUAAGGUAAAGCUGAACAGAGAGACGUUUUUCUCCAGAAGCAGACAGCACCAUAGUCAUGGACAGCUUUCCCAAGAUCACAGAUCAAGACUUCUCUGCCGUCAUGAGACUCAUAACCUCUUAAUUUUUUCUUGCUUAUGCUUCUGUGAACAAUAGAAUUGGAAAAGGGGUGGUCCCGCGUGCACCCAUAGGGUAUACUUUUAUUUGUGGAGGAUUUUGCUGCCAACCUUAUACAUGGGCAAACUUAUGCCUUCAUGGAUGGAAGAUAAAGGGCUAAUAUGGGUUAGAAAUUUUAAUGGUACCUUUGUUUCUCCAUAAUCAUUCAGAAACAGAACACUGGUCCACUCUUGUUAACCUACAUCAUAGGUUGAAGAGAACAUUGCCAGGAGGCCUUCAUCCUUCCAGAUGGGCACCAUUUGUUGGGUCUUUUUCCGUGGUAUGAAGAAAAUGAAGCAAUGAUUAGAAAUUGGUCCCUCGGCCGGGCACAAUGGCUCAUGCCUGUAAUCCCAUCACUUUGGCAGGCCGAGGCGGGUGGAUCACCUGAGGUCAGGAGUUUGAGACCAGCCUGACCAAUGUGGUGAAACGCCAUCUCUACUAAAAAUACAAAAAUUAGCUGGGUGUGAUGGUGCACACCUGUAAUCCAGCUACUCGGGAGGCUGAGACAGGAGAAUUGCUUGAACCUGGGAGGCAGAGGUUGCAGUGAGCCAAGAUCACCCCACUGCAUUCCAGGUUGGGCAACAGAGCAAGACUCUGUCUCAAAAAAAAAAGAAGAAAGAAAGAAAUUGAUCCCUCAUAAUAGGCUGUAUAGCAGAUUCUACUGCAAAGGCUAUGGUUGCACAACAGACUUCUUUGAAUUUGCUUGCUAAACUUUUACUGGAUAAUACUGGGAUUACAGGUGUGAGCCACUGUGCCCAGCCUCUCCUGUUUAACUGUAUUCAUUCUAAUGUUUACUUACUUCUUUAAUUUGUAAAAUUGGGUCACUUAGAGUUUUUUUAGCCUAUCUUGCCAUUUAGCCACUGUUACUGAUAAUUUGGAUGGAAAAGAAAAAUAAAUUAUAUCACCUCUCAUCUUCAGUGUAUAUAUGUGUUAACUUAGUAAAUAUAGUAUUCUUUCUCGUUCCUAAUGAAAAUUUAGUUUACGUACUGAAACACUGCAAACUUUUAUAAAUAUUGUGAUGUAUUUGACCAAUACAAAGGAUCUUUUUAGAAACAGCAAACAGUUCUCAGAUUAUAGGAAUUACUCAUUUAAUGAUAGUUUCUUCUU
rnacentral:lncRNA from 10 species